GCCAGGCAUGGUGGUGGGCACCUGUAGUCCCAGCUACUCAGGAGGCUGAGGCAGGAGAAUGGUGUGAACCUGGGAGGUGGAGCUUGCAGUGAGCCGAGAUUGCACCACUGCACUCCCGCCUGUGUGCCCGUGCGUGACUACAUCUCAAAAAAAAAAUAUAUACACACACACACACACACAUAUAUAUACAUAUAUAUGUGUAUAUAUAUGUAUAUAUAUAUUUUUUUUUUGAGAUGGAGUCUCGCUCCGUCACCCAGGCUGGAGUGCAGUGGUGCAAUCUCGGCUCACUGCAAGCUCCACCUCCCAGGUUCACACCAUUCUCCUGCCUCAG
rfam:Nomascus leucogenys chromosome 15, whole genome shotgun sequence.